UGAACGCUGGCGGCGUGCCUAAUACAUGCAAGUCGAGCGAACAGAUGAGGAGCUUGCUCCUCUGACGUUAGCGGCGGACGGGUGAGUAACACGUGGAUAACCUACCUAUGAGACUGGGAUAACUUCGGGAAACCGGAGCUAAUACCGGAUAAUAUAUUGAACCGCAUGGUUCAAUAGUGAAAGACGGUUUUGCUGUCACUUAUAGAUGGAUCCGCGCCGCAUUAGCUAGUUGGUAAGGUAACGGCUUACCAAGGCAACGAUGCGUAGCCGACCUGAGAGGGUGAUCGGCCACACUGGAACUGAGACACGGUCCAGACUCCUACGGGAGGCAGCAGUAGGGAAUCUUCCGCAAUGGGCGAAAGCCUGACGGAGCAACGCCGCGUGAGUGAUGAAGGUCUUCGGAUCGUAAAACUCUGUUAUUAGGGAAGAACAAAUGUGUAAGUAACUAUGCACGUCUUGACGGUACCUAAUCAGAAAGCCACGGCUAACUACGUG
rnacentral:rRNA from 1 species